rnacentral:lncRNA from 1 species
UUCCUUACAAUAUAUACUCAUUGAAUCACUACUUGUAUUUGUAUGUUGCUGCAUACUCAUUGAAUGCACAGGAAGCAACAAAAAAACGAAAAAAUAUAAAAAUAAAACUAACAUACCACUACUGAUAUUUAUAAUAAACAGACGUGAAAACUAAGCAUACCACUACGGGUAAAGGUAAUGACCCGUAGUGGAAUCCCCAUUUCUUUAAAAAAAAACUGGAAACCAUACAUACCACUACGGAUAUGCGUAAAUACCCGUAGUGGAAUCCCCAAUUCUUUAAAAAAAACUGGAACACCAUACAUACCACUACGGAUAUGUGUAAAUACCCGUAGUGGAAUCCCAAUUCUUAAAUAAAAAACUGGAAACCAUACAUACCACUACGGAUAUUGUAAAUACCCGUAGUGGAAUCUCAUACAUACCACUACGGGUAUUUGUAAAAACCGACGUGGAAUCCACAUAAAUUUAAUUAAUAAUACAGUAGAAACCUGACAUACCACGACGGGUAUAAAAAGACCCGUCGUGGAAAGUAUUGACUUACAACGACGAGUGUGUUUACUACCGGCCGCGGCCAGUAGUGGAAAGUCUAUUUGGCCGGUAGUGGAAUCCCCUUUCUGCACUAGUGUAUAUUUUAAAAGGGUAUAUUUAUAUCCUAUUUAUUUAUAGUACUGUGUAUCCA